rnacentral:rRNA from 1 species
GGAUGAGCCCGCGGCCUAUCAGCUUGUUGGUGAGGUAAUGGCUCACCAAGGCUUCGACGGGUAGCCGGCCUGAGAGGGUGACCGGCCACACUGGGACUGAGACACGGCCCAGACUCCUACGGGAGGCAGCAGUGGGGAAUAUUGGACAAUGGGCGGAAGCCUGAUCCAGCAACGCCGCGUGAGGGAUGACGGCCUUCGGGUUGUAAACCUCUUUCAGCACAGACGAAGCGCAAGUGACGGUAUGUGCAGAAGAAGGACCGGCCAACUACGUGCCAGCAGCCGCGGUAAUACGUAGGGUCCGAGCGUUGUCCGGAAUUAUUGGGCGUAAAGGGCUCGUAGGCGGUUUGUCACGUCGGGAGUGAAAACCAGGUGCUUAACACCUGGCCUGCUUUCGAUACGGGCAGACUAGAGGUACUCAGGGGAGAAUGGAAUUCCUGGUGUAGCGGUGAAAUGCGCAGAUAUCAGGAGGAACACCGGUGGCGAAGGCGGUUCUCUGGGAGUAUCCUGACGCUGAGGAGCGAAAGUGUGGGGAGCGAACAGGAUUAGAUACCCUGGUAGUCCACACCGUAACGUUGGGCGCUAGGUGUGGGAUCCAUUCCACGGGGUUCCGUGCCGCAUC